rnacentral:rRNA from 1 species
UACGGAGGGAGCUAGCGUUGUUCGGAAUUACUGGGCGUAAAGCGCACGUAGGCGGCUUUGUAAGUUAGAGGUGAAAGCCCGGGGCUCAACUCCGGAACUGCCUUUAAGACUGCAUCGCUUGAAUCCAGGAGAGGUGAGUGGAAUUCCGAGUGUAGAGGUGAAAUUCGUAGAUAUUCGCAAGAACACCAGUGGCGAAGGCGGCUCACUGGUCCGGUACUGACGCUGAGGUGCGAAAGCUAGGGGAGCAAACGGG